UACGUAGGGCGCAAGCGUUAUCCGGAAUUAUUGGGCGUAAAGAGCUCGUAGGCGGUUUGUCGCGUCUGCCGUGAAAAGUCCAGGGCUCAACCCCUGGGAUGCCGGUGGAUACUGUCGGGCUCGAGUCCGGAAGAGGCGAGUGGAAUUCCUGGUGUAGCGGUGAAAAUGCGCAGAUAUCAGGAGGAACACCAAUGGCGAAGGCAGCUCGCUGGGACGUGACUGACGCUGAGACGCGAAAAGCGUGGGGGAGCAAAACAGG
rnacentral:rRNA from 1 species